GAAGCAUCAGACACUGGGGGGCGCUUCUUGAACAGGCACUGGGCUAGACAGCCCAGACCUCGCGGAAACAAAGCGGGAAGGGGCCGCUCCUGGGGAGUUUUUCCCAGCUUCCCUGGGCCGGUGAGGGGUCCUGGCGUCCUGAACUGGAGAUGCUCCUUAGAGGGCACUGCUUCAGCCACCCCUGCCUUAGCAUACAUACGGGUCCCACAGGGGUCCUUCGACACCAGCUCAUCGUCUGGGUUCCACCAUCCACCCACGCACUCAUUUGGCAGCUAUCAACGGAGUAUUCACAGUACGCUGCUCACAGUUCUAACCGCGGAGGAUAGAGUUGAGGCCCACACGACAGCCCCUGCUCUCACAGAACUGAUGUCUCUAGAAGAGUCUUCCCUCAGUGAGAACGUUCUGAUUUCUAGAACAUUCUUUCUUCUGAUGAGUGAACAGCCUCACCGGAACUUCCCCAUCCUCCUGGCUUGGUUCCUGAAGUGGCCCAAGGCUGCCUUCUCCCUCCCGUGGGUGAACAGGGUCACUGCUUCCUCUCUUGUCCAGGCCCCCUGGCCUGACCCUGAGUCCCGGGCGUAACGGCGUUGUUGAACCACCACAACCCCAGGCGGCGCCUUCCUCUUGGCCCAGGGGCUCUCUUGGGGACAGUGUGCAGUACUCCCCAAGGGGGCUUUGCUGUGCAAAAGCAGCCCCUGCCGAUGCUGCGGCUCCCGUGGAUGGAGCACUGCCGUGGGAACAGAGUUGGAACUCAUCCAAAAGAAUAAAAGACAACUGUGUUGGAAGAUUGCCAAGGUUUGUAGCUGUGCCACCGCAGACUUCAGAGAUGAACACUGCCUUGGAGACGAGGAGGAUUCAAGUUGCAGAAGCAUUUAGAAACCUCAAACUUGAGACACGGUGGGAAAUCAGGAAGACAUGAGGCUUUGCUCAACACUGGAGAACACCAGUUCUUUUCAGUUUGUAUGCAUCUUUAUCAGGUAGACACAAACAAAGAGGCAACAAAGAAAUUAGAAGGUUGUAUAAGAAGCUGCAUAGAAUCACAAUGACUGCGUUGUCCUGAAACCAACCCAGGUGACUUUCUGAAUAAGUUGGUGCUCAAUUAAUUUACUGUUAACUAGUACUCCUAUAGCUAGCUACAUUGCUUUCUAGUUCCA
rnacentral:lncRNA from 10 species